rnacentral:rRNA from 1 species
UACAGAGGGUGCAAGCGUUGUUCGGAAUUAUUGGGCGUAAAGGGAGUGUAGGCGGUCUGUUAAGUCUUCUGUGAAAUCUACGGGCUUACCCUGUAAAGUGCAGAGGAAACUAGCAGGCUUGAGUGUCGGAGAGGAUAGGGGAAUUCCCGGUGUAGAGGUGAAAUUCGUAGAGAUCGGGAGGAACACCAGUGGCGAAGGCGCCUAUCUGGCUGACAACUGACGCUGAGACUCGAAAGCAUGGGGAGCAAACAGG